rnacentral:lncRNA from 1 species
GAAAGAGAUGCACUCAAGUUCAUGGGACAGGUGCACGGACGUCUUUGUGUUUAGGUUGAGGAAAACUGUCACCCACUAGCUUCCUGCCACUCUCCACUCUUGGGUUUCCCUCCUGGGUGAGUGCCCAUUCACUCACAAUGGAGCCGGGAGGAAGCAUCUGGAAGCCUUUUUGGAGAAAGAGGAGAGAGGCCAGCACUUCAAAUCAGGAGAGGAGUUGAGCUAGCAGGCCACAGCCACAGGAGGUUAGGGUGGGCUAGGGCGCCAUUGCCCCAGUUUGGGAGGCUCCAGACCCAGACAGCGAGAAUGCCACUAGCCUCAGGCUUGAGCCCUAUGCCUGGUGCCAUUCAGCUGCCACCUAUUUGGAUCCUAAUGUGCUUUGGGACCCCAGCAGUCAUAUGCCAGAGGUGGGCUCCUCUCUUGUCCUUCUGCUGGUCCCUCCUCCCGAGUUCCAGCCCCUGUGGGUCCUCCCUGCUCAUCCUUCAAGCCCUGAAAAGUCAACCCUUCUACAGACAGAACAUGGCAUCUGCGGAUCCAGUGAGCUCCGUAUCCUGAACUGCCUGCUGCCCCCAGAGGUGGAUCCAACGACGGGUCUACGGGACAAACAGGACGGAGGGAUACGGCGAGCAACAUCACGGAGGUGUAAGCAGCAGAAUCGUGACGCUAAGGACAUUUUCAGGACAAACAAUCUUGUUCC